rnacentral:misc_RNA from 1 species
GUGAAUCAUCAAAUUUUUGAACGCAAAUUGCUCUCUCUGGUAUUCUGGAGAGUAUGCCUGUUUGAGAGUCAGUUUAAAUAAAAAUCGGUGUGGUCGCUGCCUUUCGUGGUGACGCACCGGAUGUGGGUCGUCUUGCUUUCGGUUAAGUUACCUAAAAUUUUGCAUGAUUUUUCGAACGUAUUUAAUGGUUUUUACGUACGUUUGCGAUAUCGCGAUUACUAGGUGCGG